ensembl:snoRNA
AUCCUUUCGUGGAUCAUAAGCCUGAUGACUGAGUUUUCACACUGUGUGAGACAGGCCUCUCUCAAACCUUGUUGCAGUGAGUACACAUUACCCAUCUGACA